GACAGAGGUGCCGAGCGUUAGGCGGAAUCACUGGGCUUAAAGCGUGUGUAGGCGGGUCGUUAAGUGCCUUGUGAAAUCCCAUGGCUCAACCAUGGAACUGCUUGGCAUACUGGCGAUCUUGAGCCAGCUAGGGGCGACCGGAACAAACGGUGGAGCGGUGAAAUGCGUAGAUAUCGUUUGGAACGCCAAUGGUGAAAACAGGUCGCUGGGGCUGUGCUGACGCUGAGACACGAAAGCCAGGGGAGCGAACGGG
rnacentral:rRNA from 1 species